ensembl:lncRNA
CCACGAGCCCAGCCCAGCUGGCGCUGUGCUCAAACCAGUGAGCAAAUGAGCUGACUUGUGUCCAAAAUAGUCUUCCUGAGUUUCCAUCAUUGGUCCUGGAAAGGCAGCUGGGCUGGCACCCAGGCAGUGCUGUGGGCGGCCCCUUAGAUGGCGGGUGGCUGAUGUUCGCAAUGCUCGGAAGGCAGUGGAGUGAGUCUGAGAACGUCCAAGAACGGACAACACUGGUCCCUGUGCCCACCCGGAAGCUGGAGCCACUGGAAUGUGUUUAUGUCCACAGGACGGCACCACCUGACACAGAGACGCAUCUGAAGUGGGUGGGGCCCUCACGUGUCGCUGGAGAAGGCUAUGAGAAUGAGAAAUAGAGUCCUUUGAAGUCAACAGUAAAGAGAAGCAUCAAUUGGAGCCCACACCGCACUCUUCUUAUACAAAAAGCCCCCAGUUGUAUAUUACUCUGCAUCUGGCUGUUUUCCUGGAACCAUGUUUCCUACAGGCUGGCCCUGAACUGCGCGCCCCGCCCUCCGCUGGCCGCUUGGCACACACGGCCGGUCCUCCAGCUGCUCCUCGCGUCAAGGACAUCAAUGGCUCACACAGGCCUCCUGAAAAGCAUGUCCUUUGCCAGCAACCCCAGGACAGACCCCUCGGCUGUCCCCAAGGCAACAGACUGCAAAAGGUGCCCACCUGGCCGCCGGCGUUGCGACCCUGGCCUUCCCUCCCGGCUCCUUGCCCCUGCCGCUGCCUCCUCUAAUUAGCUGGACAGGCUCUCCCAUCCGCUCCCGGCCGCCUGUCUCGCUUCGGCCGGCACGCACGGUCCCGGUUAAAUUGGCUGUGGCAGGCCGUAAUAAAGAAGAAAACAGCGGCUGCAUCAGGCUGUUCCGAGGAGCCGCCGAUGCUCACGCGGGAAGGGUCGGGAAAGGAGCCAUUCAAUUAAGGUCGUACGGCCGCUCGGCGGCUCCAGGCCUGAGCUGCGCAUCUCGGAGCUUCGGAGAUGACUGACCGAGAGUUUCCUCAGGUCCUGUCUCCCACAAGGCUGUCCGUCUGCUCUUGUCCUGCGAGGGCUGGUCUGAAAGCUGCCCCAGGCAGGGGUCCUCAAAGUUCAGUUCUGCAAAUGUUUAACGCGCGCCCAGCUCUGUGCCGAGGGUCCAAAGAUGACACCCCUGCCCCCAAGGGGCCCCCAGUCCAGCAAAGGAGACGGAGACAGACAGUUCCAGACGGUGCUCGCGAGUCCCAAUUCCCAGAUACAAAACCAGCAGCUAAUUUCACCCACAAAAAUGCAAUAAAAUAGCAAAAAAACGUAGGCAGCCUCUGGAGCCAUUAAUGAUUCUAUCAAUACAGACUUAAAGUAACCGGAAAGGCGGUUUUCUGGGUACCGAACGUCUGUUCCUACCUUCCCCUGCUCUGGCUCUCCGCCCUGGGUGGGCUUCUGCGGGGCCAUUUUUCACAAAGGAAGCCAAAAGGCACACACACGAGUGUGACACCCAGAGAGCCUCUGCGGACAGUGAAGGAGGUGUAGACGUUGGGAGUUAGUGUACAGAUCCCUGCUCCAGCCCGGCGGCUGUGUGACGGAGGCCCCUCAACCGACCUGGAGGCGCGUGGGUUCCACAGCCGUAGAAGGGGGGUUGAAUGGGACCCACACUUGGAUCACCUUGAGGAACACCCAAGCCAGCCUUGGGAACGCACCAAGGCAGGGAGGCCACACACAGGCUGGGGCCAGACGCCUCGGAGUGGGCAUGGCAG